CACGUAGUUAGCCGGCGCUUCUUAUCCAGCUACCGUCAACCCACCCACAAGGAGCAGGCCUGCUUCACUGGCGAAAGAGGUUUACAACCCGAAGGCCUCCAUCCCUCACGCGGCGUCGCUGCAUCAGGCUUGCGCCCAUUGUGCAAUAUUCCCCCACUGCUGCCUCCCGUAGGAGUCUGGGCCGUGUCUCAGUCCCAGUGUGACCGUCCACCCUCUCAGGCCGGCUACCCGUCACCGCCUUGGUAGGCCAUUACCCCACCAACAAGCUGAUAGGCCGCGAGCCCAUCCCCACCGAAACAAUAUCUUUCCCGGGCCCGUCAUGCGACAGACCCAGAAUAUCCCGUAUUAGCCACACUUUCAUGCGGUUAUCCAGAAGAAGGGGCAGGUUACUCACGUGUUACUCACCCGUUCGCCACUCAUCCAGAACCAGCCAAGCUGGUCCCUUCACCGUUCGACUUGCAUGUGUUAAGCACGCCGCCAGCGUUCGUCCUGAGCCAGGAUCAAA
rnacentral:rRNA from 1 species